AAAGAUUAAGCCAUGCAAGUCUAAGUAUAAGCAACUAUACGGUGAAACUGCGAAUGGCUCAUUAAAUCAGUUAUCGUUUAUUUGAUAGUACCUUACUACAUGGAUAACCGUGGUAAUUCUAGAGCUAAUACAUGCUAAAAACCUCGACUUCGGAAGGGGUGUAUUUAUUAGAUAAAAAACCAAUGCCCUUCGGGGCUCCUUGGUGAAUCAUAAUAACUUAACGAAUCGCAUGGCCUUGCGCCGGCGAUGGUUCAUUCAAAUUUCUGCCCUAUCAACUUUCGAUGGUAGGAUAGUGGCCUACCAUGGUAUCAACGGGUAACGGGGAAUUAGGGUUCGAUUCCGGAGAGGGAGCCUGAGAAACGGCUACCACAUCCAAGGAAGGCAGCAGGCGCGCAAAUUACCCAAUCCCGACACGGGGAGGUAGUGACAAUAAAUACUGAUACAGGGCUCUUUUGGGUCUUGUAAUUGGAAUGAGUACAAUUUAAAUCCCUUAACGAGGAACAAUUGGAGGGCAAGUCUGGUGCCAGCAGCCGCGGUAAUUCCAGCUCCAAUAGCGUAUAUUAAAGUUGUUGCAGUUAAAAAGCUCGUAGUUGAACCUUGGGCCUGGCUGGCCGGUCCGCCUCACCGCGUGUACUGGUCCGGCCGGGCCUUUCCUUCUGGGGAGCCGCAUGGCCUUCAUUGGCUGUGUCGGGGAACCAGGACUUUUACUUUGAAAAAAUUAGAGUGUUCAAAGCAGGCCUUUGCUCGAAUACAUUAGCAUGGAAUAAUAGAAUAGGACGUGCGGUCCUAUUUUGUUGGUUUCUAGGACCGCCGUAAUGAUUAAUAGGGAUAGUCGGGGGCAUCCGUAUUCAAUUGUCAGAGGUGAAAUUCUUGGAUUUAUUGAAGACGAACUACUGCGAAAGCAUUUGCCAAGGAUGUUUUCAUUAAUCAGUGAACGAAAGUUAGGGGAUCGAAGACGAUCAGAUACCGUCGUAGUCUUAACCAUAAACUAUGCCGACUAGGGAUCGGUGGAUGUUUCUAUUUUGACUCCAUCGGCACCUUACGAGAAAUCAAAGUUUUUGGGUUCUGGGGGGAGUAUGG
rnacentral:rRNA from 1 species